rnacentral:tRNA from 1 species
GGGGUUGUAGCUCAGUGAUAAAGCAUCUGCUUGGCCUGCAGAAAAUCCCAGGUGUAAUCCUUGGCAUCUCCA